rnacentral:rRNA from 1 species
CACGAAAUUAGAUGAGCUAAUUUUGUAUACUCAUAGGGUUUGUGUGUAGCAUAACAUGAAAAAUGCAAAAUUAGGGGUGAUAGGCCAACAAGUUUAAAGAUAUCUUGAUACCUUUGAAACACAUUAAGUGUAAUGACGGCUUAACAGUGAUAAGGCUGUUAAGUAUAAUAAAACAUUAUAAUUAAUAUUCUCUCGAUUUAAUCGUUUGGGUCUGAUUAAGUAACAAUUAGGUUGGCUUAGUUAUUUUAAAUAAAAGGUAAUAGUUAAUUAUAUAGCCUAUUUAUAAUGUUAAUAUUAGUAAAUCAUAAGAUAUUAUUCAUGAACUCGGCAACACUUCCUUCAGCUGUUUAUCAAAAACAUCGCCAGUAGUCAGUAUUAUUGGUCUCUUCUGCUCAAUGAAAAUUAAAUAGCCGCAGUACCCUGACUGUGCAAAGGUAGCGUAAUCAUUUGACUUAUAAUUGAAGUCCCGUAUGAAUGAACUUAUGGGGGAAGGCUGUAUUAAUAUUACAAUUCGAAUUUAUUGAAUAAGUGCAAAUACUUAUCGUAAUAUAAUAGACGAGAAGACCCUAGAAAUUUUUAAAAAUUGUUGACAAGUUUUUUUGUUGGGGCAACAGUGUAACAAAUAAUUUACAUAAUAAACAUGAAAUAUUAUAGAUAGAUAAAAUUACUCUAGGGAUAACAGCGUAAUAUAUAAAUGUUUGCGACCUCGAUGUUGGACUAGAGAACAACUGCUUAGAA